rnacentral:misc_RNA from 1 species
UGCGUGAGGUCAUCGGUU